GAGAUUCUGGACAGACGGAGCAGCAGAACGCCGAAGGGGAAAAGGAAAACUCUCAGGCAAAAGAACCGGAU
rnacentral:ncRNA from 1 species